UACGUAGGGUGCGAGCGUUGUCCGGAAUUAUUGGGCGUAAAGAGCUUGUAGGCGGUCUGUCGUGUCUGCUGUGAAAAUCCGGGGCUCAACCCCGGACUUGCAGUGGGUACGGGCAGACUAGAGGUAGGUAGGGGAGAUCGGAAUUCCUGGUGUAGCGGUGAAAUGCGCAGAUAUCAGGAGGAACACCGGUGGCGAAGGCGGAUCUCUGGGCCUUACCUGACGCUGAGGCGCGAAAGCUAGGGGAGCAAACAGG
rnacentral:rRNA from 1 species